rnacentral:rRNA from 2 species
GCGGUAAUUCCAGCUCCAAUAGCGUAUAUUAAAGUUGUUGCAGUUAAAAAGCCCGUAGUUGAACUUCAGACCUGGUGGGGUGGUCCGCUUAACGGCGUGUACUGCUCUGCUGGGCCUUACCUCUUGGUGAGCCGGCGUGGCCUUAACUGGUUGCGUCGGGGAACCAGGACUUUUACCUUGAGAAAAUUAGAGUGUUCAAAGCAGGCCUAUGCCUGAAUACAUUAGCAUGGAAUAAUAAAAUAGGACGUGCGGUUCUAUUUUGUUGGUUUCUAGAGUCGCCGUAAUGAUUAAUAGGGAUAGUUGGGGGCAUUGGUAUUGAGUCGCUAGAGGUGAAAUUCUUGGAUUGACUCAAGACCGACUACUGCGAAAGCAUUUGCCAAGGAUGUUUUCAUUAAUCAAGGACGAAGGUUAGGGGAUCGAAAACGAUCAGAUACCGUUGUAGUCUUAACAGUAAACUAUGCCGACUAGGGAUCGGGCAACCUCAAAUUUGAUGUGUUGCUCGGCACCUUACGAGAAAUCAAAGUUUUUGGGUUCUGGGGGGAGUAUGGUC